rnacentral:rRNA from 1 species
AAACUUUCAACAACGGAUCUCUUGGUUCUGGCAUCGAUGAAGAACGCAGCGAAAUGCGAUAAGUAAUGUGAAUUGCAGAAUUUAGUGAAUCAUCGAAUCUUUGAACGCACAUUGCGCCCGGUGGAAUUCCAGCAGGCAUGCCUGUUCGAGCGUCAUUU